rnacentral:tRNA from 1 species
GGUUGCGGAAAAGGCUAAUCGCCUUCACACGGCGGGGGUCACAGGUUCAAUCCCUGUCGCACCCACCA